CGCGACGCGACGCGACACGGAGCGGCGCGCAGCGUGUGAGUAAACUAGUCUUACGUCCGAAGCUCGGCGGCCGCGACAUGGACCUCGCAGACGCAGGGAAAAGAGUACUUACUACCUACUGGAGCGUCACGCACUCAUGCCUGGUGGGAUCAUGGGAAACCAUCAGUGUGUUUUGCAAGUGCUGCGCCCAACAAAAUAACUCAGGGAGGAACGUUGUUGUCCCUGUAGAAGAAACGGAGCCACUUGUGAUUCCUGAAAGGUUUUACAUCAUGGAAGGUCCAGACGUCUACCCCCACAUCUCACCUGGGCUGCUGAAAGCAGACGUCUGAAGGAAGAAAACACCUCCAACGUUCUGAUGGAUAAUGAAGGACUUGGCAGGUGUUUCCUGCACAGUGGAACUGAGUGGGACUCUCGCCAGCAACCCAGUUUUAACCCACGUGACCCAACGAUGUAAAUACAUCUACAGACGGUCCUGCCUUAUAAACCAACAACUGGACCUCCUAGAAGGUCCAUAAAAUGGAAUUUUAUGUAGUUAGUUUGACUAUUUGUUACUUCAGGUUUAUAUAUAUGUGUGUGUGUGUUUUACCGUCUGUUCAUGCAUCUAUGCAACAUGCUCAUUGCCGUAAUGUAAUAAAAUGUAGAAAAGUGCGUCA
rnacentral:lncRNA from 1 species